CUUCACUACAGUUAUAUCAAGUUGCCUA
rnacentral:piRNA from 1 species